UGUAUGUGUGUGUGUGUGUGUGUGUGUGUAUGUUAAAAAAGCAACAAUACUGUACAAAACACUGUGUAAUUUAUUAAUUUAUGCUUACUUUUACAAGUAGACAGAGGUUUGUACAGUAUUGGUGUCUUUUAAUUUGAAUCAUGAAUUAUGGUAAUGCAAUUUUUUGGUUGAAAUGUGCAUAAAAGUCAAGACAAUGUCAAAGGAUCUUAAUGAAUGAAAUAUGGCCAGAACUGUUCUUCAGUUUUCAUGAGACUCACCCAACUACUUUAAUUUUAGGCUUUACCAACAAUCUCUUUUGUAAGAAAUUAGGGCUGGGCGAUAUGUGAAAAUUAAAAAUUAAAUAAAAAAAAUUAACUAGUCAACAUGAAAAUUCAACUGCAACAUGAUUCAAGUAACUUGUUCUUUCUUAACCCUCUUAAUAAAGAAAAUUCUAUUCCAAGUGCAGCACACAUGAAGUUUUCAACAUGAUGUAAAUGUUAACUACAUCUUAUAGAAACCUGUCUAAUACAUAUUAUAUGUUCAGAAAUAAUACAAGAAAAAUACUUUUUAAAAUUUUUUAAAUCGAAUUAAUCAAUAAAAUCAGAAAAAUCACCCAGCCCUACAAGAAAUAUAGAAACUCAAAACACUAAGUUUCCUUCUGUCAUUAUAUUAAAUCUCAUCUCACGUUAGCAUGAUGAAGCAUUUAGAAGGAAUCCACGGAUUAAGAUAAAACAGGAAGUGCAUUACAAAGAAUACGUGUGGUCUUUGAAAGCCAACAUGGAGUCAUAUACCGUAGGACGGCUGAGGUGUUUUUGAGAGAACAUAUUGUACUGGUGUAAUGAAUAUGGUGUGUGAGAUUCAUAAAAGGAUUCACUGCAGAAGAUAGAAACUGUAAGAUUUUGUUUUGUUUUUGUCUUUGUUUUGGAAUACCAAAAUAUUAUACUGACAUCAUUGAACAAGUGACACAGAUAAUGUCAUAGCAAAUUGUAUUUAUUUAUUUCUAAAGUGUAUUUUCUAUAAUUAUCUAUUAUGCAGCUUUAAAUAAAUGUCCUUACUUAAAAAAAGGAAAAUUUGAGUUUUUCUUUUUUCUUUUCAAAAAAAAAAGAAAGAAAUUCAUUGUAUGUUAAUACACUUCUUUUCAAAAGUUUGAAGUGGUAAUAUUGUCAAAUAUUAUUACAAAAUUAAAAAUAAAAGUCUUCAGUGUCACAUGAUCCUUCAGAAAUCACUCUAAUAUACUGAUUUGCUGCUCAAGAAACAUUUCUUGUUAUUAUUAUCAAUGUUGAAAACUUUUAUGCUGCUUCAAAGCCUGAUUCUUUGAAGAAUAGAAAUUUAAAAAGAACAGCAUUUAUUUAAAUUGGAAUUAUUUUCCAACAUUAUAAAUAUCCUGUUUUGUCACUUUUGGAUGCUACACAGCUACAGUUCACCGAAUUAUGAAUGCCAUGUAAUAUCAUUUAUUCAAUAAUAAGAGACUGGGGGGAGAGAGUGGGGUUAAAAUGUACAGGAUGUGAAUAAUUGUUUGGUUUCUUGACAUCAGUGUUCUGAUGAUGCAAACUCGUUUUGCAUAUUACCCAAAUGACUAUUUUGUUGUAUUUCCUCAGUUGCUACACUUAUGGAUAUUUCCCCAAUAAUCCAUUGAAAUUAA
ensembl:lncRNA